AUAAGAAAGACAAAAGAGCGACCGUUAGGUCGCUCUAUAUUGGCAUUUUUAUUACAUCAUUUGGUUUGGCCGCCGAUCAGUAAUAAAAAUAACCCUCAGGUUACGCAUAGCUGGCUACUAAUCAGGUUCCUUACGCUAUUAAUGAUUAGUGGUUUUUGUAACUCUAACCCAGGUACUUACUUGGGUUUUUUUAU
rfam:Vibrio splendidus LGP32 chromosome 2